GUAUAGCUCAGUGGUAGAGUGUUUGCCUAAAGUGCAGGAGACCCUGAGUUCUAUUCCCAGCAAAACA
rnacentral:tRNA from 1 species